CUCCCCCGCGGCCAUCUCCUCCCGCCUCGCCUCUCUCUCUCCCUCUCCCUCUCUCUCUCCUUGCGCUCCCUGCCGCGCCGCCGCCUCCGCUCGCCUCGCCAUCGCUGGCACCUACCCGAGGCGUGGGUUCGCAAUCCUGCCCCCUCCCUUCCUCCUCUCCCGGUUCGUUCUCCCUCCCGUCCCAAGCCAGCCGCCGCCCCCACCCUAAUGCCGAUCUCCUCUCCCCCAACCUCGGUGCCGCCUCCUCCCUCUCUCACAUAGGCGCCCGCCGCUGCCGUUUCACCUUCUCGAGAAGGUCAGGUGGAGGCCAGAUCCGCCAUGCCCACAGCGUUGCUUCCGCUGACACGCUCCUGUGUCGUUCCCAAGCCCGAUACAAAGGAGAUGCACGACCAUCCCCUCCCCGUGAGGUGGUGGACGCAGGAGGUGCACGUCUCCGUCGAGGUCGUCGCGAUUGGGUGAGAACCCUAGCUGAUGCUCUGACCCUCACAACCCUCGCUUCGCCCCCUCCUUUCUCUUUCGCCUCUGGAUCCGGCCGCCGCCACUGUCUCUCUGCCUUGCCCCGCCGUCCUGUUCCUGGUGAGACGAGGUCCUUCCUUUCUAUUGCUCACAUCAGUCAUCCAGUUCUAGACAGUGGAUGAAUCACUGAGAUUGGGAGCAGAGGCAAGGAUGUUGCCUCGCCCCUGCUUCUGACCUGGACUGGAUCUCGUUGGUUCUUGCUCAACCUGCCAAAGGUCUGUAUGUUUAAGAAUGACUCCACUCAUGGCCCCUUUAAAGGAUCCAUUAAGAUCAUGGAUGAUUCAAUUCUAGAGAUUAAUGUGGAGAAAAUAACAAUCAAAUGCAAAAGAUGAGUAUGCAUCAUUAGUAUGCAUCCUAAGGGGCAAAGAUGCAGUCCUCCAGAGCGGUUGGAAAGAAGAAGAAGAUGUGUUGUUUGAUGUGUUCGUGCUUGUCGGCGGGAUGGUGCAAGGCGCAACUCCGAUGCGGUUCCUCGCCGGUUGGACGGCGUUCAGGCGCAACCCCGACAUGCACUGAGUAUUGCCUCAGCUACAGCCUCCCUCGGGUGAGAUUUCCUGUGAUUUUGUGGAAGUAGAUGAUUGAUAGAGACUCGGAGGAGGUAAUUGAUAGAUAUAGACGUCGUGGUUCCUAUUUCUUCAUGUACUAUUUUUCUUCCAGUUUUCUUUUAAUUAUAAGCUACCUCUGCCAUUGUAGUCAUUUCUUAUUUCAUACCAGUCUCUAUUGACUACUAUGUAACCAUGCAUGGGUAGCUUAAAUGGCAUAAGUUCUUAUUCAGUUAGAAAAAGGCAACAAAAACAACCAGGGUAAUCUUGCUCUAGAAAUUGCAUGACAUGUGCUUAUUCUCAUUUGUACAUAUGUGCGAGUUGAGUUCAAGAAAUUCUUGCAAAUGCAUUUUUUGGAUAACAGUCGUCAGCACAUAACCAUUUACUGAUUUAUAUUAAACCCUAUGGAAGCCAAGAUAGGUUUAGGUUCAUGUCUAAUAUAUCUCAUUUCACGGAAUAUAAAUUUACUUGGAAGCUAUAUCCUCCCAUGGUCCAUUGUUUUAUGCAUUGUUCAUGUUAACUUGGCUAAAAAGUGUUCAGGGAAGCUUUGAGUUUUGGUUGUUUCAAAAUAAACACAUCAAAGAAGAUGUUAUAUACCUUUUGCCAUUUAGCGGUGCUUAGGGAGUGAACAAGAUCCACUCUAAAAAGCUCCGGCAUCUGUCAACAAAGUGUAAGUGAUGCAAGCGCACUGAAAAUCAGCAUUUUCUACUUCCUUGGAAAUACUACAUUCCAACUUGUCAGGAUAAUCUAUGUUAUGUUUUUGGAUUGCAGUACCAGUGCAAAGCAGAUGGAAAAGAAUAAGGCAUCGAAGAAUGUUGUGCAUGUGCCUCUGCUUCCUCCUGCUACUAA